AGCUCGUCCCGCCCGCCGGGGCGGGGAGUGCCCGGCCCGGCCCCGCUCCCGGUCCUGCUGUGCAGUGGCACGGCUUGUCCCUGCGCUUUACAGGACGCUCAGGAGUGGCAUCCCCGUUUUCUUGUCCCCUUCGGGGUUUUCUGUCCUUUAACCAGCCCCGUUGUCAUAAUUCAGGCGGGAAGGAGCCUAAUCCAGGUCCUUGGGAUUGCACGGCUGUGCAUGGGGAUGCUCCAGGACGCUACCAGUGACAUCCAGCUGCCUCUGGCUGCCCCGCAAGGUCCUUUUGCAGCUGGAUUUCCAGGGUAGUGCCUUCAGUAUCCAUCCGGAGCAAGGCUCAGACUCUGUGUUGACUGUUGGUGUUACCUGUGGCUUUCCUGUUCCUUUAGCCUGGCAGCUGAGUGUGCGUAAGUGAUUUCCUGGCUACAGGUGGCCAGUCUGGAGAGCGAGACAUGAGCCAAAACAGGAACACAGCAGGAAGGAAAGGAGCAAACACAAAGGAGGUUUGUGGAAAGGUAACUGAAAUGUGCUGUUUAAAUGCCAGGAAAAUGGAUUUGGUUUAGGGCCAGAAUAAGGAGAGACUGAGAGCAGUGAGAAGUGUUGAAAAAAGGGAAUUUUGCUGUUGCUGAUCCUUCUUCCACGUGUUAAAAGCACAAAUGCUCCAGAGGUGCAAGAACUCUGUGUCUCCUGGGGUACUUUGGCUGGAGAUUUAGCUGCUGGCAGUGUGUCCUGUCUGUGCUGCAGCCCUUGCCCUAAACUUGGUGAGGCAACACCUUUGUUACUUCUACUCCCUGUGUGUGUUCCAGACCUGCAGCUCUGAGUCAACAACGUGCUGCUGCCUCAGCACAGGGAGAAGGGGCUGAGCAAAACUCCAGCUUCACAAGGCUGGGCUGGAAAAGGAGCUUUGCUGAGUGAAAAGGGACAAUCCCAGUCUGCCAGCCUCCCCUCCAAGAGACACAUACCCAGAAGGAAGGAAGAGCCCACAUUCUGAGCUCAGCCCAACCGUGCCCCAAAGAAUCAAGACACAAGAGAGGAAUUUCAGUGAACUACAGACACCCCAGUGUUUAUUAACUCCAGACCAGUGGCACAGGCACAACGCUGCAGGCACGGGAUCUCUCCCCACACUCUAAGCCUGUUCCUUGAGCCUCUUGAGCAGCUCCCGCAGCUGCUCGAUCUGGGCGGACACGCUGCUCUUGGCGGUGCCGCCCGCGGCCGUGUACUGCUCCACGCUGCUCACCACGCUGAACACCUGCGCCACGUCGCUGCCAAACAGGGGGCUGGGGGCACAGGGAGGGCUGUCAGGGGGCUCUGGGCUGUUCCAUAUGCCCAGUGUCUGUGGAGAGGCUGAGGGAGUGAGGACAGGGCACCCUCCUGCCCUUCUGCUGACAGUCCAAGGGGACUCCAAGGAACUUCAGAGCCAAACCCCUCUGGGGGCUUCCUGCUUAGGGCAGGAGUGUCUCCCAGCCCCUCCCAAUAACUCUUGCCCAUGCCCUGAUGGAGUGGAAUGGAGCUGAUAUUGUCCCCCUCCAGUGUUUUCAGCCCCAGGAGGAGCAGCCCUUGAUAUUCAGGACAGGAGGAUUUUGAGGCACUUUUGGGAAGGCUGCUCAGGGAGGCUGCUCCCUGCCUGUGCAGGGAAGUGAAAUAACAGAGAUCCAAACCUGAUGCUCUUCAGGUCCUCCAGGCUGAGAUUGUUGAUGGUGAUGCCUUUGGUCUCGGCGAGGUGGACGGCCUUGCCAGCAGCAAUGUGGGCUUGUCUGAAGGGCAGCUGCCGGGGGAAGCAGAGGUGGCAGUCAGUGACCAGGCAGCUGGGCUGCUUUUCCAUUAGAAAAAUGGAUGUGCUGCCUUUUUUGGCUGGCCUGUUUUCCCUUUAGGGCAAUGCAAGCUGAAUCUGGGGUUGCUUGGGUGGAUUUAGGAAUAAAUUAUGAUCAAGUAAUUUGGGGGUAAAUUACUAUGAAGUCCCUUGAGAUGCAUGUAAAGGAUGUGUUUUCAGCUUUCGUGGUUGUUGACUGCUCAUCACCCUGGGACAGAACAGAGGGGCCUCAUCCCAGCUCCUCACUGAGCAGCUCCUCUGUAUCCAAAGAAAUCCCAGCUCCAGCUCUCCCUCUGGUACUUACUCCUUUAUGAACCAAGUAGAGAGCCAGGUCAGAUGACAGGAUCUCAGGGCUCAGUGCCUUCUCCAUGUUCUCCUUGUUGAUCUGCAGAAAGGACGGACAGAGGGAGAUGUUAUCUAUAAUCAGCUCUUCCUUGGAGCACUUCAGCUCUAAGAGGGACCAAAAUGAGCAGUGUGGGUGAGGUACUGAAGAGUUUUCACUUUAGAACCAGCCUGGAGCUCUGUCCCCCGUGUUACUCACAGAAUGUGCUCCAUGUUCCAUAGUGAAUCCUUACCUGGAGGGUGGAAAUCACUCCAGUGGCAACCUGGAGCACAGCAUUCAGGGUGUCUACGACAUCAAAGACGGCCUCCUUGUCCUCCUGUGUUGGAACAGCGAUGGAAAUGGCUCUGAGCCAGCCUGGUGCAGCACAAGAGGCUGAGCAGCCCAGGCAGCAGAGCAGGGAUGUGAUCCCAGAGGCUCCUGCCAUGGCAUUCAGGGUGUCUCCUGCAGCAUCCCCUGCCUCAGCCCCUUUCCCAGCACCCAGCCAGGGGCUGUGCAGAGAAAUGGAGUGGUGGGACAGCUCAAGAGUAGGAGAUAGCUGUGUCUGCUCAGAGAGAUGGUGUGGAAAGGAACAAAGGCUUUACCUGCAGGUCCUUGUUGUAGGUGCUCGGGAGUCCUUUGAGGACCAUGAGAAUUGCAGCCAGCUGCAGAGGGAAACAGGAGAGGCAGGGAGUGAGGAACAGAGCAAAGCACAGCCUCAGGGCAGGUCCAGAACCCACACUGGGCACAGCUCUUUAGGAAAGAAAAGGCAAGAAAAAGGAGGAUUCUCCAGCCCCAAUAUGAGCAAUUUUCCCUCCCUCUUCCUCCUUUUUGGGGCUCACCCGUCCGAACACUCGGCCAGCUUUGCUGCGGAUCAGCUCCAGACUGUCAGGAUUCUUCUUCUGAGGCAUCACACUACUGCCAGAGCUGAAGGGAAAGUGUGUGGAGUGCAAUGGUGAGCAAGACCCUCUGGCUGAAAUCCCUGAUCCAGCCCUCCAAAAUAAACCUCUAAAUCCCCUUUCCUUGUACUCCUGUUUAGGGUGUAGGAAAUCUAUGAAUGAAGUGUGCCAAGAUUCUCGUGUUUCCCACAGCAAAGCCUUUGCUUUUGCAACUUGUCUAAAGCUGCCACACAGUCCCACCCCUCAAAGACAGAGUUAAAAGGAGGCUCUCCCUCCAAGCCCCUCCAGGGUGGUAUCAGCAGGCCAGACUAAGCAUUGAUGUGACUUCAUGGAGGGAGGGCUGUGGUUGUGCCACUCUGCAGACAAGGAGUCUGUUGGGAUUGCAAUACCAGCCAGGCAAGGAAGGGCUUUGGCAGCAUUCCCAGCACAGCAGGAAGUUCUCUCUGCCAGCAGUUGCUGAACACAUACAUGGUUGACUUAUGGGAAUCAGGAAUAAGUGAGCAUUUCUGAGGAAUAUUCACCCUGAGGGUGCCUUUGUGCCAAGGUCUUGAUGCUGGGUCAGCCUCAUGCACAGAGAGACCCCAACCACUGCCUCACCCUCCAAGGGUGGGAGAGCUGAGGAGAAUCCCCCAGCAGAGACCAAAAACCUACCAGUAGGUAUCAGAGAGGGUCAGGAAGCCAAACUCGCUGGUGCUGUAGAUGAUGAGAUCCUCGGCCAUCUUGCUGAGGUGGAUCAUCAGCAGGGUGGCAACUGAGAGGAAUUCCACUGCACGGAAGGCAGGAAAUGAGGAGGGGGAAAAGGUGCUUGGAAAACUCAGAGAGCCCUGACUGGGCCUUUGCUCCUAGUGCUGGAUUUCAGCCCCUUGUUAAGUUAACUGGAAAGGUGUCAGGAGCUGCUUCCCACAGUGCUGGGAAGAUUUGCCUGUGCUUACCCACAAAGUCCCUCUCGCUGACGGCAUCCAUGCUGUUCAGGCUGAUGGAAGCAAAUUCCAGCUCUGCAAGGAAGGGGAUGGACACAGGAGGUCACACUGGCCCUGACAGGAGCCUGAAUGCACCAGGCUGCCCCAGAGGAGGUGACUGAGAGCCCUUGAGCAGUCCCAGGAACACAAACAUGUUUAGUGGGGUUUUUCUUAUGAACCCAGACAGCCAGAGUGCAGCAGGUGUGGCUCUUCCUCCUCCCACCUCACAGGCACUGCCUGUCUCUCUGCAGCAAAAAUCCUGGAAAAUUAAAGGCUCUGGCUCCAGGAUGGGGUAUUAUGGUGCCAUUCCCUCCCUCCCAGGUGUGACAGGUACUCCCAUGCCCCUCAGUCCCAGGAUAACAUUUACCACUGCGCAGCAUCUCUCUAUCGAUUUCCACAGGGUUUCCAGCCAGAGCUCCACUGCCAGGGAAGAAAGAAACAGAAAUCAUGCAAUAAGCCUUUCCUGUCCAUCCAAAGCUGAGCUCUGGGAAGCAGGGAAGACACCCCUGAAGACUUUGCAGAGCAAAGCAAGGCCCAGUGAUCACCAAAAGGGUAGAUCUUACCUUCCCAAAGGCAAGACAUUGAUCCUCUUCUUUAUCUCUCCCAGGCGCUCAGAAUCCCGGGUCAGAGCAACAGCAUGGCUGGGGAAGGACAACAGGGAGAGAGCCAUGAAAUUAGGGAAUGUCUCUUUUUUUUUUUUCCAAUCCCUGUGCUGCCAUGCCUGGAGCCUGGGAUCUACCCUUAAACAUGAGGUUGGAGUGGAAGGGACACAGGGAAUUCCUGUUCCAGUUUGUGAGGUUCCCUCUGGUUUGUCACCACCCCUGGCUGUCCCCUCAGCAGAGCAGGGCCCCGAGGGUGGAGAGGGUGGGAGGUGCUCACCUGAGCAAGAACUGGCUCCAUCGGAUGGGCUGAGCUUUCUGCAGGUGGGUGUAGCCAGGCAGGAUCACAUCGAUUUCUCUGGGAGGGAAAGGAGGGAGAGGUGAGCAGCAGGGACAGGAGGGCAGGGACAGGAACACACCAGGGCUCCUGGCAGGGUCACAAACUGAGCAUUUUCAGCCUAUGAGAUGCUGAAGGGUCGACCUCUUCUUCUCCCUGUCAUCUUUCAAGCCAAGCACACUGGGUUUAGCUAUUCCAGUGUGGUGAAUCUGCCCUGGGCUGCCUGGAAAAUUGCCUGGAGCAGCAAUGCCUCUGUGGCAGGCAAGGAUUCCCCAGUCCACCAUAGGUUUGGAGUGCCAGGAGCAGAGCUAAACAGGGAGGUAACACAGCUGAGCUUUUUCUCAGCCAGAAAAACCUGAAACGUGUUCCCCACUCCUUCAGAUGGGUUUGGUGCCUUCUAAAACCUUGUGUGGACCUCCCACCUCAACUCCUUUGCCAGGGAUGAAGGAAGGUUUCUCUGAGGGAUGAGGAGAGUUUCUGUGAAGUGAAUUCUGGAGAAAAAGGGGCUGUUGUGCUCCCUGGGCUACCCCAAACUGCCUGGCUGUAACUCCCUGCACAGGAGACCUUGCUGCUGCCCAGUGGGGUCAGACAAAGGACAAACCCAGGAGUCUCCUGCCCCAAAAAGGCCAAAGUUAUGGAAAACAGGGACUGUGGAAAAGGACUCACAUGGCAGCGCGUUCCACCAGCGUCUUAAUGAGCUGCAGGAGGUGCGUGGAGAUGAUGGAGAGGGAAUUCUUCAUGAACAGCUUCAGGUCAGUCACAACCUGUGGGAGAUUGGCCACAGUCAGGCCACACAGAAUGUGACAAAUGCAGUGACUGCAAGGUAAACCCCUCCUUGUCCUGUGUGAUGGGAAGGGAAAUCAUCUUCUCAUCAUUUGGUUGUAUUUAUGUGGCAAUGCCACCAUUUCUUGCCCUCCAGGAAGAGUUCCAGAGGCCACUCUGGUCUGAGGUCUCCUGAAGUAAAGUGGGGGAGGAAUACAGAGGAAGAAAAAAAGGUUCUGUCUGUACCUGAUCAUUCCUGCUUCUGCCAGUGUGCAACUUCCCAGCUACAUCUCCAAUCAGCUCCUGAGGACAAGAGCAGGAUUGCUGUCAGGAUCUCUGUGCUCUAAGCAGGACAAUCCACAUGAGCAGAUCUCCCUGCCUGGGAGGGACUCAGCUCCAGGAUCCAGGGAGUAGCCAUGGGAUGUGUUCUGGGGAGGGCAGGUUUGGGUUCUGGGCUUGUACAGUGCCACAAAAAGGGGCUUGGGCACCCUUGGCUGUGCCCCAGGGGGUUCAGUGCCACGAGCUCUAAAGGAAUUUCACAGAGGGACAGAGGCACAAGCCCUCAGUGUCAGGCAGACGAUCAGGACCAAGAGGUUAGAGGAGCCAAACCUUUAGUCUGCGCUCGUUGGCAGUGUGGAUAUCCUCAUCAGUCUGGAUCACACCAAAGACUCCUUUGGACCAUUCCUCAGAGAUCUGCAAACACCAGAAACACCAGUCAGCCACCACAGCUACCCUGCUGUGUGGGGGCUGUGAGUGUCCCCAGCAAAUCCCAGCUCCUGCCAUUCCCACACGUGUUAAGUCUCUGGCAUUCAGGCUGCUUGUGUAUCCUGGUAUUCCAUACUGUUGCUGGGAUUCAUCUCUCUAUCCAUGAUAAUCCUGCAGUGUUAUGGAGGAUUUAAGCAUUGCAAGGAAAAAAUUGAGCCUAAAUGUCAGUGAUUUCUUCAGCAUCAUCCACAAAGGUUUUCCUAUAAAACAUUGCACAGACCCACUGUUGUCCAGGGUGGGUGAGCAACAACAAUGGAUAUUUUAUAAAAGCCCCUUCUCUGCUGACUCUUCUUCCCCCCCCUACACCUGCUAUGCAUUGUCUCCCACCAAGCUGGGCAGCCAGACUCAAAAUUCCACGUGCCAGCAGGAAAAGGAUGUUCUUACUUCCCACUGAAAUGAUUCCUAGUGACUGCUCAGUCUGAAGAGGAUGGGACACAUGGACAUUUAAAGAUGCUUUUUAAAACAGCAAGAUGCUGUCAGGUAAGGAAAGAUUCAUUCCAGCACACAUGGGAGAUUGUGAAGGGAAGAAAUACCUUUUCCAGGCCACUCAGGAUCUUCUCCAGCUCAGUUUUAGACAGGAUUCCAGCCUUCUCCAAGGCUUUGGCAUAAGCCAUGCUCCCCUGGAUGUCGACUUCAGACAGUCUCUGAUCAACAGUAAUGGAAGCGCUGAGCAUCUCCAUGAUGGGAUCUGUGCUCCCCACAAACCUUCCUGCCAUCAUUUUGUCCCCCUGCAAGUAAAGAAGGUAAGAGACACAGAUUUAUGGAUAUAUCCCCUAAAAAUCAGUUUGUGUCCAUCUCCAUCCUUAUCAAACUAAAACUGUGGACAACCUCAGGAAUGGUUUUAUUCAGUCUAUACCAGCAAAACUCUGGACUUUAGGGCAUGUCACUGUCACUAGAAUUUAGCCCUUGAGGUUACAGGUCUGGCUUGGGGAUCCUCCAAGAUAUCUGACUCCUGCAGGACUCUCUGAAAAUGAAUAUCAGGGCACGUGGUGCAUGAUCAGCAUGGAACUCUCUUUUAAGGCAGUUGCUGAUCUCUGACCCUUUGAUGGACUCCUGACAAAAAAAAAAAAAAAAAAGGUAAAGGAGUCAGGGAUAUAGUGAGAGCUGGUUGAAAUAUUAAAUAAUCCCACUCUUUUAGGGAGACUAGAAGAAAACGUUCCUCUGACAAAGAGCUGUGGGCCAGCACAAGCCACAUGCUCUAAACCACUCCUGCGACUAUAAAGUGUCUGAAGUUACCGUUUGAAGCAGCUCCAGAUUCCACGUUCUCGCAAGCUUUGGUGUAAAAUUAGGAUAAAACCGGCAAAGGCGCAGGUUGCAGAAAGAGAGGCCUGGGUGCCUUUUCGUGUUACAAAUGUUCCCGUGAGAUGAAAAGGAAAGAGAAAACCCCAAAACACCCCCAGAAGGGCUCGACAAGUACGCGGCGCCGGGCGGCCGGCGGAGCUACCAUGGACAGCGGGCAGGGACCGGGACAUCAGCAGCCCUUUUCCCAAAGGAUUGGCGGAGGGAAGAGCAGGAGGGAGCCUGCGGAGGCAGGAUGCAGGCUCGGGGUGCGGGAGCUCUGCGUUUGAAGCGGGUUUGUCCGCAGGAGAUGCCGCGGGGAGGGGGGGAAAUAGGGGAAAACCCCAAAGUUUUGCAGCUCCUCGCUGGGCACUCCGUGAUGGGCAGAGGGGACAGGGAAUGAAUGGUGCUGCUGGGAUGGGGAAGAGGUGUCCAGGUACGUUUUUGCUGCCAGGAUCCGAGGUGGGACGGUUGAUUAUUGCAGCAAAGUUGUUCGCUAUCCCCUUCUCCAUUUAAAACCCGGGAAAACCAAUCCCAGAAUCAUUAAAGUUGGAAAAGACCUCCAAGAUCAGCGAGUCCAACACUGCCAGGAGCACCCCUAACCCACAUCCCUAAGGACCACACGGACACCUUUCCUGAACCCUUCCAGGGAUGCUGAUCCCACCACGUCCCUGCACAACCCGUUCCAAACAGAGCAGAGCAGGACCCGGAGCAGCACCCCACCAGCAAAGCCAAGCUCCCCCUCACCUCGGCUGCCAUUUCGGACGACGUUUUGCUCGUUUGUGCAGCGAUCCUGGCACCUGGUGCAACCUGCGGGACAGCGUGGAGAUGCUCAGCUGCCCCGGUGCCCGCUCCCUGCCCCAUUCCCUGGGCGCUCCCGGUGCCCGGUGCGCUCCCAGUUCCCCGGGCGCCGCUCCCGAUGCGCUCCCAGUGCGCUCCCAGUUCCCCGGGCGCCGCUCCCGAUGCGCUCCCACUGCGCUCCCGGUUCCCCGGGCGCCGCUCCCGAUGCGCUCCCAGUGCGCUCCCGGUUCCCCGGCGCCGCUCACCUGCUCCGCACGCAGCCCCGGCCGCUCUGUGGCUCGCUGCUCCCCGGCCCCGCUGCCCCGCUUUUACAGCCCUCGGCUCGGGGCUGGCGGCUCGUCCCGCCCCACCGGGGCGGGGUGUGCCCGGGGCCGGCCCCGCUCGGGUCCCCCCCGUAUCCCCCUUGUCGCUUCCCAGCCCUGCUCUGCGGCUCGGGGCCAGGGGGUGCUUUGGAGAGGAGGAGGCUUAGGAGGGAUGCUCGAGUAUUGCUUUAUACCUGGCGUAGCUCCUGCGCUGUGGGCAGGUCAGGAAUAUCCUUGGAAUGCUCCCAUGGGAAUAUCGCUGGGUUGAAGGAGUCGCAUCGCUCUGUGUCACACCCCUCUAAUGAGCAAGCUUUAAUAUAAAUAUAACUGAUACGCUGCUCUGUCCCCAUUGCCACUCCAAUAAACACAAAAAAUAGAUGGGAGCUUCUUGUUCUUUCCCAUCUCUGCAUGGGUGAGACUUUUCAUCCCACCUGUAAGGAUGCUACAGCCCCAGAUUUGGGGGUUCCCUGCUGUCCCAAGGUUGUGGGGGCACCUGAGAGCCUCAGGCAGUGGCUGUGGGGCUUGAAGUUAUACUUAUGGCAAUAACGUGUAGCUUAAACUCAUCGCACCCUAAAUAUCUUGGAAUUAAGUAACUGAUUUAAAGCACAAGAGAGCUUUUAGAGCAGCGAAGCUGUGGCUCAGCACGGAUUUCUCAUUAACUCCUCAGACAGAGUAUUUUCUGCAGCCCCUCUACAGAAAGCUGAAUAUUUGCUGCUUUCUCUUACCAAGUGAGCUCCUGCAGUGUAAUAUUUUUCCAUCUGCAUUGUCCAAACCUCUCACAGAGCUCAGGAAACAUAUUCCAACUUUCUCAUCCACGUUUCUGUUGGAUUUUCCUCCCUUUAACUGACCCUCUCAUUCUUUUCUGCUGUUCUCUCAGUUCUACAACUCAUCCCCUUCCCCUUUUUCCACUAGGACACUGAAACAGCACUUGAUCCUUUUGCAGUCCUGUUCCUUCCUACUGUGAAAUCCCUCAUUUUUACCACUUUUCUUGUCUUCUUCACCUUUUCAAAGCAUCCUUGUCCUUACUCGGGGCUUUGACAGGAGAUUGCCAACGUGUUGUGAAAACAUUAAGCACUGAAUUUAUAACUGGAGUGAAUCUUAUAAAUAAGAUUUUGCUAACCCAUGUCUGAUACUACAUGUGACAGGGGAUAUUAAACCCACAUGGGACCUGUCAGCAGUGCCACUGUGUAUUUAGCAAACUUCACAGGGAUUAAUUGGCUUGGAGUGCACUGCUCAGCUCCUGCCCUAGUUUGUAUCUAGGAAAUGAUGAAUUCUCUCUUUAUUUUUAGACCAAGCAGUCAAUAACCAUCUUUAUAAUAAGCAAUGUAGAAUGUAGACUAAUAUUUUUAUAAUAAAACUGGAAGUAAAACUAAAUGCAAGCAGAAUUCCUCAACUUAAAAACAAACAUUGAAGAAAGAAGAUUUCAUAAAGAUGCUUGGAGCUGGGGAGUUGAACUUUUUUGAGGGGAAAGCAGUGAAAUAGCAAUGCAAAAUAUACUUUUUAAUGCAAACUGAAGUGCAUUCUCAUUGCUAUCUUCUCCAUUUGUUCUGGUUUGGAUGUCUCUCCACUGCCCAUCAUCUCCUUUCAGUAUUUUAUCUGAAAUAGAAAGAUUAACCUCAAAAUUCUCACCCCACAGUUAAAACUGAGGAAAUUCUGAGGGAAAAGCCUCCCACUUAUUUUCCUUUCUGGCAGAGAGGAUGGCAAAUCAUUCCUACAUUAAUAUUCCCAGCUACACCCUUUUCGAGGUGACAAUGAGUACUAGAGUAAAUUGCCAAUUCUGCAGUACAGAGAAGUUUAAUUAAAUAUAUUUUAAUGUUCUCAAAGAAUCUGAACUUUAUUUGUACUUUUGUAAUCCAUCAGAGUCCUUCUCUACGAUUUCAUUUUUUUGCUGGAAGGGUGCAAUGCUUGAGGGAGUGCAGCACCGAAGGAGCUUUGGUGGCUCUGGAAGUUCACUUUUCACAAUAGGACUGUGAAGGAAAAGGAUGGCAGAAACUGCUACAGUGCACCUUCUUUUAAAAACAUCCUUUUUUUUAGCUGUCUUUUUGCUUUGGAGAAAGAAAACAGCUCCGUGGGCUGAACGUGCCGGGCAAACGCACCGUCAGCUCGGUUGAUGCGGAACCGUGCUGACAUUUUUUGUUCAAAAAACCCCCCAACUUUGUUUUUAAUGAAUUUUUGAAUGUAAAAGGCAAAAAAAAAAAAAAAAAAAGAAAGAAAGAAAAGAAAAGAAAUAGACACCAUAGGGUGCUGAGCGAAAUGCUGAACACAGUAAACAUCUUUCAUGACAAAGAACACAAAUACCCCGCAGAUCUGCUGUCAAUAGCAAGUCCUAGGCCCCCUGCUUUCAAUAGUUAAUACCGAGGCCCCUCUCUCCCCAAGCCUUAGUGGUAACAAUCACAAGCCAAUGCUUAAAAUGUUGACAUGCUAAGCACAUUUGGAAAAACCCAUGUCUGCAUUCCCUAUGGAUGGUGUAGCAUAACUGUCUAACACCUAAUGAGCAGCAGUUAAAGCUGAAGUGACCUCCUCACCUCACCUCCUGCCCAGCUGGUUCUCUCUUGAUAUUCCCUCUCUGCCUUGCAUGAUGUCAGUGGACGUGGAGCUGACCCAUAUUUGUAUUUACAGCCUUACCAGGCUUCCUGUCUCCACUGGGAAAUGUUUAGGAGGAGUAUCUCUAUUAGGAAAAAAAGCUGUUGAAAGAGGUGUCUGUGUUAUGUUCAUUCAUCCCCAGCUGUGUCUUCAUUGUGGAUUGGAAAAAGCAGCAUUGAUUGGAAAAACGCGUCAGGAAAGUGAAAUUUUGGGGAAAGGGUGAAAAUAAUUGUAAUAAUUUGCUGCUGGGAGAGAGGUACAAAGAGGUGUAAAGGAGAAAUAAAAUUGUUGUGCUGAAGGUUCUGAACCCUUAUCUGAAGAGAGUGGUGAUAGGCAGACAAGGGUUAGCAGAUUUCUGUAACAAAACUCUAAAAUUUGGUUGUCUGGAAAUACCCUGUUUUCCCAUGAAAACCGACAUCCUUUCCCUUCUUUCAGGCGGUUUCAUGUGCAGGGUUUGGGAUAUGGCAGAGCAGUCACAGAGCUUUUGCUGUGCCAGUUUUGGCCAACUUACAAGGCCAGUUAAUCCUGACAUGAAAAAGGGCAGCAUCCAUUGCAUCCUGUGCACUGAGUCACACCAGCUGCUCUCAGUCUGCCUUUGAAGACCUCUCUCCUGGCUUUUUUUUAUUCCACAGGACUCCACAAUAAAUGAUUCUGAAGUAUAAAUGAA